GUGUCCGGUCCAGCAGACAUCAUGUGAUCAAGUUUCAAGCCUACAGACCCGCCAGGGCUUUGGUAGGCUGGUAUGUAUGAAGCACCUGGGCACUGGGGUGGGUUGUGUCUAGAAGUCAUCUCGGCCCCCACCCAGCCAGUGACCCUCUUGUCACCUGUGGCAUGGCAUCUCUCCUCUCAGGCCAUCCCCAUGGUCAUCCUACCUUCCUGACUGCAGGGCCACCAAGGAAGUCCGUCACAUGUGACUAGUGCCGCUCCAUUGAGCAGUUAGGUACAACAUGUUCUACCAGUGGGUGGACCAAAAGGAGUGCUCACCACAGAGCAAGUCGGGGCCUGAUCACAGGCUCAGUUAGGGGUUAUAUGAAGAUCUUUGUGUCAUAGCAAGAGUGGCAUCCAUAAAAGAUGAAGGAGCCCCCAGAGCAACGAUACCUUAAUUACUACUGUGGGUUCUGAACACGGGCCAAUGGCACUGGCUUGUAGAGGCUGUGACCCUCAGCCAACUGCCAAAUAAGACUCAGAACAUGAACAGCAUGGCCAUAUUCUUUUUCUCUGGCUGGACCCCACAAACACUUGCCAUUGUAUGCUAGUGUGAUUGUUGUCCGUGAGAACUCUCCAGCUGUGGGGAAUCUAAAAGCUGGCUGGUACUGGGAGGGGAACUGGGAGGAGCUGGGCUCAGGUAAAGCACCGGAGGAGGAGAUAAUUUCCCUGGAAGCC
rnacentral:lncRNA from 1 species